rnacentral:rRNA from 1 species
GUUGUAUGGUUAAGUGACUAAGCGUACAUGGUGGAUGCCUUGGCAGUCAGAGGCGAUGAAGGACGUACUAACCUGCGAUAAGCCGUGAGCAGUCGGUAAGAGACAUUACGACUCACGGAUUUCCGAAUGGGGAAACCCACUUAGCAUAAGCUAGGUAUCGCUGCGUGAAUACAUAGCGUAGCGAGGCGAACCGGGAGAACUGAAACAUCUAAGUACCCCGAGGAAAAGAAAUCAACCGAGAUUCCCUCAGUAGCGGCGAGCGAACGGGGAUUAGCCCUUAAGCAUCUUGGAAGUUAGUGGAACGGUCCUGGAAAGGCCGGCGAUACAGGGUGAUAGCCCCGUACACGAAAACAACCUUGAUGUGAAAUCGAGUAGGGCGGGACACGUGACAUCCUGUCUGAAUAUGGGGGGACCAUCCUCCAAGGCUAAAUACUCCUGACUGACCGAUAGUGAACCAGUACCGUGAGGGAAAGGCGAAAAGAACCCCUGUGAGGGGAGUGAAAUAGAACCUGAAACCGUGUACGUACAAGCAGUGGGAGCCCUUCGGGGUGACUGCGUACCUUUUGUAUAAUGGGUCAGCGACUUACAUUUUGUAGCGAGGUUAACCGUAUAGGGGAGCCGUAGGGAAACCGAGUCUUAACUGGGCGUCUAGUUGCAAGGUGUAGACCCGAAACCGGGUGAUCUAGCCAUGGGCAGGUUGAAGGUUGAGUAACAUCAACUGGAGGACCGAACCCACUAACGUUGCAAAGUUAGGGGAUGACCUGUGGCUGGGGGUGAAAGGCCAAUCAAACUCGGAGAUAGCUGGUUCUCCCCGAAAGCUAUUUAGGUAGCGCCUCGGACGAAUACUACUGGGGGUAGAGCACUGUUUGGGCUAGGGGGUCAUCCCGACUUACCAACCCCAUGCAAACUCCGAAUACCAGUAAGUAAUAUCCGGGAGACACACGGCGGGUGCUAACGUCCGUCGUGAAGAGGGAAACAACCCAGACCGCCGGCUAAGGUCCCAAAGUUCUGGUUAAGUGGGAAACGAUGUGGGAAGGCUCAGACAGCUAGGAUGUUGGCUUAGAAGCAGCCAUCAUUUAAAGAAAGCGUAAUAGCUCACUAGUCGAGUCGGCCUGCGCGGAAGAUGUAACGGGGCUCAAACCAGGCACCGAAGCCGCGGAUUCACGCUAAGCGUGAGUGGUAGGGGAGCGUUCUGUAAGUCUGCGAAGGUGUGUCGAGAGGCAUGCUGGAGAUAUCAGAAGUGCGAAUGCUGACGUAAGUAACGAUAAAGGGGGUGAAAAGCCUCCUCGCCGGAAGACCAAGGGUUCCUGUCCAACGUUAAUCGGGGCAGGGUGAGUCGACCCCUAAGGCGAGGCCGAAAGGCGUAGUCGAUGGGAAGCAGGUUAAUAUUCCUGCACGACUUGUAAUUGCGAUGGGGGGACGGAGAAGGCUAGGUGGGCCAGGCGACGGUUGUCCUGGUGAAAGUGCGUAGGUGGUGUUUCUAGGCAAAUCCGGAGACACAACACUGAGACACGAGACGAACACACUACGGUGUGGAAGCCAUUGAUGCCCUGCUUCCAGGAAAAGCCUCUAAGCUUCAGAUUACAAGUCAUCGUACCCCAAACCGACACAGGUGGUCGGGUAGAGAAUACCAAGGCGCUUGAGAGAACUCGGGUGAAGGAACUAGGCAAAAUAGAACCGUAACUUCGGGAGAAGGUUCGCUCUUGACAGUGAAGUCCCUUGCGGAUGGAGCAGUUGGGAGUCGCAGUGACCAGAUGGCUGGGACUGUUUAUCAAAAACACAGCACUCUGCAAACACGAAAGUGGACGUAUAGGGUGUGACACCUGCCCGGUGCCGGAAGGUUAAUUGAUGGGGUUAGCGCAAGCGAAGCUCUUGAUCGAAGCCCCGGUAAACGGCGGCCGUAACUAUAACGGUCCUAAGGUAGCGAAAUUCCUUGUCGGGUAAGUUCCGACCUGCACGAAUGGUGUAACCAUGGCCAUGCUGUCUCCACCCGAGACUCAGUGAAAUCGAAUUCGCCGUGAAGAUGCGGUGUACCCGCGGCUAGACGGAAAGACCCCGUGAACCUUUACUACAGCUUGGCACUGAACAUUGAACCUACAUGUGUAGGAUAGGUGGGAGGCUUUGAAGGCGUGACGCCAGUUGCGCUGGAGCCGUCCUUGAAAUACCACCCUUGUAUGUUUGAUGUUCUAACGCAGGCCCAUGAAUCUGGGUCGCGGACAGUGCCUGGUGGGUAGUUUGACUGGGGCGGUCUCCUCCCAAAGAGUAACGGAGGAGCACGAAGGUUGGCUAAUCCUGGUCGGACAUCAGGAGGUUAGUGCAAUGGCAUAAGCCAGCUUAACUGCGAGACGGACAGGUCGAGCAGGUACGAAAGUAGGUCAUAGUGAUCCGGUGGUUCUGAAUGGAAGGGCCAUCGCUCAACGGAUAAAAGGUACUCCGGGGAUAACAGGCUGAUACCGCCCAAGAGUUCAUAUCGACGGCGGUGUUUGGCACCUCGAUGUCGGCUCAUCACAUCCUGGGCUGAAGUCGGUCCCAAGGGUAUGGCUGUUCGCCAUUUAAAGUGGUACGCGAGCUGGGUUCAGAACGUCGUGAGACAGUUCGGUCCCUAUCUGCCGUGGGCGUUGGAUGAUUGAAGGGAGUUGCUCCUAGUACGAGAGGACCGGAGUGAACGAACCUCUGGUGUUCGGGUUGUCACGCCAGUGGCACUGCCCGGUAGCUAAGUUCGGAAUCGAUAACCGCUGAAAGCAUCUAAGCGGGAAGCGAGCCCUGAGAUGAGUCAUCCCUGACCCCUUGAGGGUCCUAAAGGGCCGUUGGAGACCACAACGUUGAUAGGUGGGGUGUGUAAGCGCGGCGACGUGUUGAGCUAACCCAUACUAAUUACCCGUGAGGCUUAACCAUACAACACCCAAGAAGUGUUCU